ensembl:lncRNA
CAAAAACCAACAUGCAACACUAGUGAUGUCACACCUCCAGGCUGAGCACGCGAAGCUGCGGGGAACCUCCGGAUUUACUUCCCUGAGCAAAGUGUGUCCGAAAAGAAGAAGCAGAAGAAGAAGAAGAAGAAGAAGAAGAAGCGGCGUGACCCGCGGCGACAGGUGGCAACAAGAGCGCAUCUUCUCUCCAUCCUCCAUCCCUCACAUCUCAAACCAGGAGAGCUGAGACUGUCGGACGCGCAGCGCGCGCUCCCGGAGUGGCGCGUCGCCUCCUGCUCCCCAUGCGCGCUCCCGCCGAGAUGAAUGCUUCUCCGGGGAAAAGCGCCCACUUAAUGACAACUUUUAUAAAUCUAGCCGGGCGAGCGCACGUCGCCUCGGCGGACAGCGAGUCGAGAUGAGACCGUAAUUAGGUCAUAAUAGCU